rnacentral:lncRNA from 1 species
AAGAUUUGUGAAACCCAAUCGUGAUUUCUAGCGAGCUUUACUUCGUUUGGGCCUUACGAGAAUUGCAUCUCGAUUUAAAGGGGUUGGUUUUGACUUAAACUCGACCCUUAGGUUUCGGGUUCGAUUCCGCUGCCAGAUGCAAACAGAAAAGAAAAUUUAGGGGAAAAAUAAACAAAAAUAUAUUGUUUGUAGCAGCGUAAUGGCAUAUUGAAUCCGUCGAUUGUUGAUAUCGGACGGCUGCUGAUAUGCUGUUUUACUGUAGGAAUAUGUCAAACCCAAACAAAAAGAAACCCAAGAGAGUUCCACAUCCUAAAACCCC